rnacentral:rRNA from 1 species
AGAGUUUGAUCCUGGCUCAGAGCGAACGCUGGCGGCAGGCCUAACACAUGCAAGUCGAACGGGCUCUUCGGAGCUAGUGGCGGACGGGUGAGUAACACGUGGGAACGUGCCUUUAGGUUCGGAAUAAGCCCGGGAAACUGGGUCUAAUACCGGAUGUGCCCUUAGGGGGAAAGAUUUAUCGCCUUUAGAGCGGCCCGCGUCUGAUUAGCUAGUUGGUGGUGUAAUGGACCACCAAGGCGACGAUCAGUAGCUGGUCUGAGAGGAUGAUCAGCCACAUUGGGACUGAGACACGGCCCAAACUCCUACGGGAGGCAGCAGUGGGGAAUCUUGCGCAAUGGGCGAAAGCCUGACGCAGCCAUGCCGCGUGAAUGAUGAAGGUCUUAGGAUUGUAAAAUUCUUUCACCGGGGACGAUAAUGACGGUACCCGGAGAAGAAGCCCCGGCUAACUUCGUGCCAGCAGCCGCGGUAAUACGAAGGGGGCUAGCGUUGCUCGGAAUUACUGGGCGUAAAGGGAGCGUAGGCGGACAUUUAAGUCAGGGGUGAAAUCCCGGNG